rnacentral:rRNA from 1 species
CACGUAGUUAGCCGGGGCUUCUUAGUCAGGUACCGUCAUCAUCUUCCCUGCUGAUAGAGCUUUACAUACCGAAAUACUUCUUCACUCACGCGGCGUCGCUGCAUCAGAGUUUCCUCCAUUGUGCAAUAUCCCCCACGGCUGCCUCCCGUAGGAGUUUGGGCCGUGUCUCAGUCCCAAUGUGGCCGUCCGACCUCUCAGUCCGGCUACCGAUCGUCGCUUUGGUAGGCUUUUUACCCCUGCCAACUGGCUAAUCGGACGCGGGCCCAUCCUAUACCUGAUUGCUCAUUUCCCGAUCAAAUCAUGCGAUUUAACCGACUUAUGCGGUCUUACCAGCCGUUUCCAGCUGCUAUCCCCCUGUAUAGGGCAGGUUGCCCACGCGUUACUCACCCGUCCGCCGCUAAGAAUUACAGGCUUCCAUACCGAAAACUUCCGUCCGUACUACUCGUUCGACUUGCAUGUGUUAGGCACGCCGCCAGCGUCAUCCUGAGCAGGAUACAAACUCUU